rnacentral:rRNA from 1 species
AUGGGGCGAGGAGCCGGAGGAGGAUGUGGGAGACGCCGGGGACGCGGAUCUGCAGGCGAAGCAGCAUGGCAUCCUCGAUUUCCUCCUCUCGGAGGGGUGCUCACGACUGGUUACGAGGUGGUCAUGGGGGCGUUCUACCUUGCCGGCGUGUUGGUUUACGCCACGAGGGUGCCGGAGAGGUUUAUGCCGGGAAUGUUUGACCUCGUCAGGCAUAGCCACCAGCUGUUCCACGUGCUAAUCAUCGCUGGCGCUUACGCGCACUACCAUGCCGGCCUGGUUUACUUAAGUUGGCGGGACAGGGACCAGUGCUAA